GCGAAAGUGGCGGAAUUGGUAGACGCGCUGGACUUAGGAUCCAGUGUCAUUGCGACAUGGGGGUUCGACUCCCCCCUUUCGCA
rnacentral:tRNA from 1 species